rnacentral:tRNA from 1 species
GUUUUGUUAGCUAAGAGGUUAAAGCGUUUAUUAUUCUAAAUAAAAGAACGUCGGUUCGAUUCCGACAUAAAACC